rnacentral:lncRNA from 1 species
UGCUGAAUGUUGAAUCACGGUAUCACUCGUAGUGGGAGAAUCCAUCACAAAUGUUGGCAACCAAGCAGUCAAAUCCUCCUCAAUGGGAAUAUCAGCCUCCUCCAUAGGCUCUUCAUCAUCGGAAUCAGUCCUCUGCACUGUGUGUGGCGACCCCAAAUCCAGGUACUUGAAACCCGAACUCGGUUCUCCACGAUACCAUUUCUUUAAGCUGAAUAAUACUAAAUAAUAAUACAUUCGAACUUAAUUUACAUACAUUAAAGUUUACUUCCCCAGGUACGUGACCUUCAAAUACAUUCCUUACAAUACCUGACAAUAUAUUCCAUUGUCUUACUAACUAUAACCAUUAACUCAUAAUAUAAACUCAUUCGAACAGCUUUCCUUUCCCCUUGUUCGUGCCUAAGCCUUCAGAUUGCUCAUAUAUAACUGAAAACAUUUAAUUUAAGCAAGGAUGGGCAUUUGAGUGCCCAACAAGUAAUAGCAAUUAUAUAUAUAAGCUGAAAGAAUAUAAGUAUUCUCUUUACAUAACACUUCAACAACGAAUCAAAAGUUGUGAAGUAAUCUAUACUGAUAAAAGAUUCACAUAACAACUCUCUUUCAAUUUCUUGAAAUUAGGCUCCACCCAUGAAUAGGGUUUAAGAAACAUAUUAUGAACAUGGUUUUUUUCAUUUUCAAAAAGGUUUAGCAGAAAUUCAUCCGCAAACCGUCAUAACUUACGGGAACGGAGGGUGAUCAGCCCCGUUGUACCCUGUAUUGAUCAAUACUACAUAACUUGAACGAAAUUCAUCGCUCACCCUUUGUCCGCCGAAGCGCAUAAAAAUUUUCCCAUUAUCGGGAUGUUCAUACAUGCCUGGUUCCAAACCCGAAGGUUUUUAAUCUUGCUCAACAAUAAUAUGUAAUUCAACAUAUAUGUAUACGGGUAAUUGACAAAGGUAUAUCAACAUGUGAAUAAAUGCCAUGAUUAUCCAAGUGGGGACACUUG